rnacentral:pre_miRNA from 1 species
UCUUAUGGAUGGGCAAAGAAAGUAGUUUCUUGGACGGAAUCUACCCCUGGUGAAGAUGCUGUGAA